GAUGAACGCUGGCGGCGUGCCUAAUACAUGCAAGUCGAGCGGACAGACGAGGAGCUUGCUCCUCUGACGUUAGCGGCGGACGGGUGAGUAACACGUGUAUACCCUACCUAUCAGACUGGGAUAACUUCGGAAAACCGGCGCUAAUCCCGGAUGAUAUAUUGAACCGCAUGGUUCGAUAGUAAAAGACGGUUUUGCUGUCACUUAUAGAUGGAUCCGCGCCGCAUGAGCUAGUUGGUAAGGUCACGGCUUACCAAGGCGACGAUGCGUAGCCGACCUGAGAGGGUGAUCGCCCACACUGGAACUGAGACACGGACCAUACGCCUACGGGAGGCAGCAGUAGGGAAUCUGCCGCAAUGGGCGAAAGCCUUACGGAGCAACGCCGCGCGAGUGGUGAAGGUGUUCGGAUCGUAAAACUCUGUUACUAGGGAAGAACAAAUUUGGAAGUAACUAUGCACGUCUUGACGGUACCUAAUCAGAAAGCCACGGCUAACUACGUG
rnacentral:rRNA from 1 species